rnacentral:rRNA from 1 species
UCAAGAAUCUUCCUCAAUGGACGAAAGUCUGAAGGAGCGACGCCGCGUGAAUGAUGAAGCCCCUCGGGGUGUAAAGUUCUUUUCUCUGGGAAGAAACAAUGACGGUACCAGAGGAAUAAGGGGCUGCUAACUUCGUGCCAGCAGCAGCGGUAAUACGAAGGCCCCAAGCGUUAUCCGGAUUUAUUGGGCGUAAAGCGUGUGCAGGUGGUUUGUCACAUCUUCUGUCAAAUCUCGAAGCUCAACUUCGAGGCUGCGGAAGAGAUGGACAGACUAGAGACUGGGAGAGGCAAGUGGAAUUGUCGGUGUAGGGGUUAAAUCCGUUAAUAUCGACAGGAACACCAAAAGCGAAGGCAGCUUGCUGGAACAGUUCUGACACUCAUACACGAAAGCGUGGGGAGCA